AUUGAACGCUGGCGGCAGGCCUAACACAUGCAAGUCGAGCGGAUGAAGGGAGCUUGCUCCUGGAUUCAGCGGCGGACGGGUGAGUAAUGCCUAGGAAUCUGCCUGGUAGUGGGGGAUAACGUCCGGAAACGGGCGCUAAUACCGCAUACGUCCUGAGGGAGAAAGUGGGGGAUCUUCGGACCUCACGCUAUCAGAUGAGCCUAGGUCGGAUUAGCUAGUUGGUGGGGUAAAGGCCUACUAAGGCGACGAUCCGUAACUGGUCUGAGGGGAUGAUCAGUCACACUGGAACUGAGACACGGUCCAGACUCCUACGGGAGGCAGCAGUGGGGAAUAUUGGACAAUGGGCGAAAGCCUGAUCCAGCCAUGCCGCGUGUGUGAAGAAGGUCUUCGGAUUGUAAAGCACUUUAAGUUGGGAGGAAGGGCAGUAAGUUAAUACCUUGCUGUUUUGACGUUACCAACAGAAUAAGCACCGGCUAACUUCGUG
rnacentral:rRNA from 1 species